rnacentral:ncRNA from 1 species
GUGAGCCGAAUGAAACCAAAGUUUCAUGUUCGGUUUGGAACAGAGACGUUAAAAAAAUGAAUCGAUGUUGACUAUAAC